rnacentral:lncRNA from 1 species
UUUUUUUUUUUCUUUGAGACUGAGUCUUGCUGUAUCGCCCAGGCUGGAGUGCAGUGGUGCGAUCUCAGCUCACUGCAACUCCACCUCCCAGGUUCAAGCGAUUCUCGUGCCUCAGCCUACCAAGUAGCUGAGACUACAGGCACCCGCCACCAUGCCUGGCUGAUGUUUGUAUUUUUAGUAGAGAGGAGGUUUCACCAUGUCGACCAAGCUGGUCUCGGACUCCUGACCUCAAGUGAUCCGCUCACCUUGGCCUCCCAAAGUGCUGGGAUUACACAUGUGAGCCAUCACACCCAGCCUUCUGUGCAUAACUUUGAUGACAGUCAAGGGGCGAAGGAGUAAAGAAACCUCUCUCCUUCAACUUGUCAAAGUAUUUAAUAAUGCUGCUUCCAAGAAAAGGCCUCAGUAGGCCUCUAACUGCUGCUGUCUGUCCACCUGGGGCUAAGGCCCUUGCAAAUGGACAGAGGGCCCCUCAGGCUCAGGGUCCAGCAGCCUGACAGCUCUGGCCCUGCCCGAAGAAGUAAAUGCCAAAUAUGGGGGUCAUUAUGGUCUUUAAUAAAAGCUUGUUGCUAUAACCUGUGGGCUAGGUUCAAAGAACUGUCUAUUAAUUGUAUACCUUUUGCUGGAACAAGCACCCCCCGUUUGCAGCGGGCUGUCUGCCAAGGAGACAUUUAUCAUUUCUUGAAUGGCAGAAUUCCUCUUGGAACACCUGGUUUUCUUUCAGAAGGAAGCCGAGCCCUUCCCCUGAAGCUAGCCUCUCUUCCACGCUGACUAUAAUCUGCUUACUCCAGUCCCCAGUGCCUGAAUGAGCAGAAACCAGCUCAAGGAAUUAAGUCCUGGAGGAUGCUAAUAGGAUAUGGCCCGAAGAAUAGAGUCCAUAUCCUAUUCAAGAACAGAGUACCUGGUGCGGUGCUAACACUGCCUGGCUUCCUUGUUCUCAAUUAACCAGGCCUCUGGGCUUCCUUCCUUCUUCUCUAUCCAUUUAAUGCAUUGGUUGCUGCAACAGAGAAUGGUCAGGGAUGGAGAAAAGGAAUGAAGCUUUAACCCACAAAGCUGUAGUUAGGAGUAAGGAAAUCAAGAAGGAGAUUGGUACCAUCUACUAAAACAGGCACGGGGCCGAUCUUGCGAUUCCAUUGGUCCACAUUCUACCUGUGCCAGAAAUCCAGACUAGAAGGAGCCCACCAGGUUGUCCCAGGGCACACAACACAGUCUGAUAAAUGAUCAGUCAAAUGCACAGAUAUACGUUCCACCUGCCCUGCCCCCAGGGAAGGAAUUUAAACUCAGAUAGAAUAUAGUUAACUUAGUGCACUUUCCUUGAAACGUUUGACACACACAGUUGAUUCUUAUUCUCAGUUUAUAGAUGGGAAACAGCUUGGAGAGUUUUCUGUGGUUUAACUGAAUUCUCUUAAUACUAAUAGCCCCCUGGCCAUCCAAUCAACACAUAUUUGCAAACUGGCAUGAUGCAAAAUCGUUCCUUCUGUUUCCAUGCCGUCUCGUGCUCUUUUUUUUUCCUGCUCCAUCAGUUCAACGGCUGCCUGUGGAACAUCAGCAAAGCUCACUGCUGCGGGGUGCAGGACC